rnacentral:lncRNA from 1 species
CUGUUUGGUCGUCUCUGCCCCAGUCCCUUCGCCGCGGGACGCGCGAGACGGGAGAAGGUGCGGGAAGCGGGAAGCAGGAGCGGGAGCGCGCGGCCCUGGCACGCAUAGGGCGGCGGAGAGGGCACGAGCAGGGAUUGAGCACCUACUGUGUGCCUUCACGCUUUACAAAAGGAUUUUCGUUCGAUGUUCACUACAGCCCCUGCCCGGGGGUACUGAUGCCCCAUUUACAGAGGGACAAGCCGGAUUUCGGAGAGGUGAAGUCACUCGCCGAAAGUCGCACCGCCAGGGUCUGCGUGACACCCUAAAGCAGUGUUCAGUUACCCCGGGGAGAGCGCGAUGAACUUGAACCACUUGUUGGCUGGUUCCUGCUCUUGCUCGUUUUUUGCGGAUCGACACAUAGUGGGCGCUCAGGAAAAUAAAUGUUGGAAGCUUGAGAUUGAACUUGACAGCUCGACCCUAGGUACCCGCCACGAAUCCAGCCCAGCCCGCGGGGCACCGGGUUUCUCCAGACCUCGCAGGGAACAUUUGCGGAUGGGCUGGUAGAGGAGGCUCGGACAUCCCAGUUCCGCACCCGCACUCGACCAACGCGUGGUAGCGGAACCCCUGUCGUAGCGAGGCACAGACUGGGUUCAAGUCCCGACUCUGCCGAUUUCAGCCUGAGUGACUUUGAGCGAGUCACUUUUUCCCGUCGAAACCUCAGUUGCUCCAUCCACAAAAUGGGAAAUAUGAACAGCCACCCUAAAACGGUGUGGGGAGGAUUAAACGAAACAACGUUCCCAAAACUCUAAACUUACAAAUGUUGUCUCCCGUCCAUCCCAUAAACUUAGGCGACAAACCUGGCGCAGGGUGACCUGAGACAAAGGCUUCCCGGCCCCUGUCUCCAAGUCGUCCAUCCCUGGGGCGUAGGCACGUUUUAGUGAGCCCUGUCCGGCGAAACCCGAAACUGCGGCCACCUUGGCAGCGGUGGGCCCCAAAAGGAAAUAUUCAAAUAUUCUGAAACUCGUGCAUGAUUUAGGACUGACAUUUUUACGUUUAAUUUUCUUGCAGUUUUAUUCUUGCUAGUAAAGGUAAUUCGUUAGAAACCCUUAAGUGCAGUUUCUCCUCUGUGUCUUGUUUAACUUUUCGUGUUAGCGAAAUUCACAAAUUUGACCAAGGAACCGGAGCGCGGCCGUCCUCGCCGGGAUUCCGGUCAUCGCAAUAAUCUGGCUCUCGGCCCCUACUCCCAGGCACGGAGGUCGAAGAGACGGGCUUCCCCUACACCGCCCUGUGUAGAUGUAGCCUCUUCGUCCCGGCAGCCCUCCGAGAUUCCCUGUGUCCACCGGAGCGAGGAGAGGUGUGGGGCUGCAGCCCAGAACUCAGCUUCCUGGACCUCCCCAAACUCCCGCCUCUCCGGGAUUAAGGGAGUAAAUCCCUGACGCCAAAGACCAGGUCAAGGACAAGUUCUCCCCCGCCCUACUCCCCCCUCCUGGGCGGGGAUUCAUCUCCCUUCCGGAUGAAAGGUACUAAAGAGCCGACGGGGGGCCGCGGCGGGCCCCAGGCCCUUGAUGUUCCGGUUGAACAGGUGCUGGUGAAAAGGAGGCGGACCCGGCGGAAGAGUCUGCCAGGGGGCAGUGCGCCGAAGGGGAGGCGGCCUCCUCCACCCCCAGUCCCCCGGCCCGUCUUCCCUUCUCCUCUCUGUUUGCCCCUCCCCCGCAGGAAGCGUUCCCGGCCGCGAGGUCUUUGAAGUGUCGUUGAAGCCCCCAGGGCUGCCUUCUCCCCUACGCCACCCGAACUCCCGCUGUGGGGGGCGGGUGACCUUUAGUCCCCACGAGUCGUCCCCCUUUAGGAAGUUUUUGGGGGUCAGAUCUCACCCCCCCUUGCCCACACAGGUUGGGAAGAAGACUUUGGGCCGACGCCCCUCACUUCUCCCCCAGACCCAAUUGCAGGGACUUUAGUCCUCUGGAGUGCUGCGUGUGAGUUACCUUGUGUGUCUGUGUGCGUGCCUAGAGGUCAAGUGUAACUGGUGUUCGUGAGCACCUCGUGGUUGCGGGUCUCUAACUCUCGUGGGUCUCUAAGCGCACCCGCGGGGCUGGAGCGGAGGUUCGUGUCUCUGGGAGGGUCAGUGGUGUGACUGAAGCUGGGAGUUAGCUCGUGUCUGUGGGUGCCUCGGUGUGUGUCUCUGGGGCUCUGAGUCCCUGUGCGUGCGUGUGUGUCUGUGAACCCGACAGGAAGCUCCCCGAGGGCAGGAAUAUGUUUUGCUCUCUACUCGAUCCCAGCGACUGGCAACGAGCGUUUAAUAAAUAUCUGUUGAAUGAAUAAA